CAUUAUGUCUUAUUUUACAUUUACAUUUCAAGAACCAACUAUAAAUAAUUACUAUGCAUAAACAAAUGAAUGUGAAUAAUGAAUUGCCCAUUACGGAAAACAAACGCAAAUGCAUACAUCCUCCCCCCUUGGGAUUUCACACAUGACCUGUCCCAAACACCCCCAUGAAAAAGCCCUAUGGUAUGGCCCGCGCCAUGCUUGGAAGGCUUCCAGAAAAACGGCCGUAUGUUUGGUUGGUGUUUGCUAACUUUUAAUAUAAUGCAAAAUAAAACAAUGUUCAACAUGAAUGUUACAUUUUACCUUCAAUAAUUUAACUUUUUCCCCCCACAAAUUUACGACAAACAACGGUACCGCUACCAAUUUAAUUUAACAGAAAUUGCGGUCGUUUUAAAAAAAAAAAGGAUUUUAAAUUCGCGGUAAAACGAACAUUGUUUCUUUUCCGUUUUUGCCAUAUUUUCUCGUUCUCAUUCAUUUACAAUUCACCUUCAGAACACACACAAACAAUGGAUCAUAUUAUCUAUUAGCAUGUCCUCCAACCUGGGACCUGUAACAGAUAUUUGGGGGCUCGUCUGGAAUGGUCGCCUCUUGUUGAACUGACAGCUGCUGAUCCAGUGACCCAUGAACCUUGGGUCCAGUGUGGCUACACUUUACCCAGGGUUUCCAGUUUGCGACUAAGGAGGCAAGGUGACCGGUGUGAAUGGGACUGAGGCCUAAAGAAUGCAGGACUGUUAAUCCAGGAUAUCUACAAUGAGCAUCAUGUCUGACAAUGAGAGGAAGGGACUUGUCUGGGCUAUCAAGAAAAGGCUCCAUCGCCAAACAGCCAUGAAGCUUUCAAAGGCACCACCAGCAUCGGGCUAGUCUAGGGACUUAACUAAACCAGAGGUCCCAAUGACAGCUGCGUUGAGUAUUCUUCUACUUACUUGACCAAACAUUCCUGGAGCUAGAGGAUGAGGGUAUGCUAAUAUUGAUAUGUCUGAAAGAUACUGUUGAUGGGGUCAUUUCAAACCGUGAUUACAGUGCAAUGUCUUCUGAAGGUUCAGGUUUGUACAUCUACAGUUUCACCUAUGCUGCCACUAGAUAAUGCUGACAUGGAUUACUAUGAAAUGACCAAACACAUGCUGAUGUUAACACAUGCUGUUGCUACAAUGGAUACACAUGAGAUUGACAUACAGAUACUUGGUAGCUAUGAAGAACUAUCGUGCCAGCAUAAUGUCUCCAUUUAUACACCUGAUGCAGACAAGCCACAGCCUACUCCAGUAAGCUGUAAUCAGCCCAGUAGGCAGCACAAUGAUCGCUUACUGCACUCACAGCCCACUUCCAGAGGCUGUACCCACUCCAGUAGAGUAUGAUCGCCCUUAAAAAAAUCUGCCACUGCUGCCACGGAAGGAGUUUAAGAUACACAAGGCCAGAUAAGUGGUACCGCGUCUGACAUCAGUUAUAAAAGCAUAUGCAAACAAAUGAAGGUCUCAGAGAGAAACAUACUGAAAGCGAGGUAAUUAGAGGUGUACUCCAUGCAAUCAAUCCUGGAUAUGCUGACUGACAAGGAAGACAUAACAAUCACAGAACUUAAAAGCUUCCUCCAUUCUCAUUUUUGUGAGACGAGCAGCACAGAGCUUUUCUAAGACCUGCUGUAUGCAAAGCAGCAUGGGCAGCAAUUCCUAUAUAAGAUAACUGGACUAAAGCAGAAUAUAAUGUUCACCUCUAAACAUACAGACUCAGCAAGUAUGAUUCAUCUGCAGCACAGUAUGUAUUCUUGAGCACCGUCUAUCGGGGCAUGGGAGAGGGACAUGUGGAUGUUUGAGAGUUGAAACCGCUCCUUGCACCAUUGAGAGGCUCAGCACUCCAGUUGAGGCUUUGAAACAGGCUAUGGACACACUGAAACAUCGUACAACGCAGGAUCCAUCAGUUAUGCAGCACAUUCCACCCACACAUCAGUGUGAGCCUGACAAAGCCAGCUCGGAAGGAAAUUCACUAAUAUGUUGCAUAUAGUGUGUAGGACAGGGCUGUCCAAACUGCAAGCCCUGAUUUGCCUGUGGGUAAGAAGGCCAUCAUGCUGUAGAUUGCUUGAAGAAGCCUAAGCAGUCUGGAAACAGAAUCUGUUCAAGGCAACCUCAAAAACUUAAAAGCAAUGACAGCAGACUGAAACUCACAUCGAUCCUUGUCAACCUCCUUGCUGGAGUCAUGGAGAUUGACAGUGUUAGUGGGGAGGCGAUAGUGAGUUUCAACCAGUGAGUUUCAUCCGGACUAAAAAAGAUCAACAGGCUGUGGUGAAGGUAGGCUUGAAAGAGAUCACCUUUAAAUUAACCAUAAAAUAGGACAUCUUUGAUUUCGCUGGUUUAUUUGAUGUUUUAUGAUAUCCUUUGCCUACCCUUUAACACCAGAAAAGCCAGAGCCAACGCCAUCAAGCAUUUGGACUUAAAAGUAAAAUUACUCAAACAUUGCAAAUGCUAUAUCUUGUACUAACAGAAAGUGCCAUUGCUGGGCAUAGAAUGCCUAGCCACACAGAGGAUUUGUAUAUGGGUUGAGAGUCAACUUCCCUAUGGGCUGUUCACACAGCCUGGCCUUUGCAACGUACUUUAUAGAAACAUGCACUGGAUGAAACACAAAUGUGGCUUCUCUGCCAUCUGACCAAGUAGCCCAGUGAUCAAGGUGACCUAUCACAGCCUUGACAAUAGUCAUGAUGCUAUGCGUAUUCUCAUGACCUAUCCCUGUGGACAGACCAAUAGCCCUUGUCUGGUGCUCGUAAGCUUUGGAUUACAAGUCUCUAUACUGUAUAUCUCAUUCAAAACCAACAAACCGCAACCCUUCUGCUCUUGACGAGUGUAUGACUAAAGAGUAUGGAUAAAACAUAACAUACACUCACUGACAGGGAGUCAGCAAGUGUAAGUUGUGAAAAAUCCUAUUGGAUCAGCAUUACCGUAUGUAAAAACCUAGGUUCUCCAUAAUACAAUAUAAUCAUGUUUUGUACUGCUGGCAAGCCGAUAUCAUGGGGAACAAGUUGGUGUCUCAGCUACAAAGGUUAACCCAGUGUGAUAUGCUUACAGAGAUAGCGCAAGCAGGAUUCAUUGUUGUACUGUUUUGUGAUUAUUGUGUCUGUAUUUGAUGACUCAAGGUUUUACCUUGUAUAUAAGGAAAGAAGUGCCAUGGUUCCAAGAGACUUGUCAAUAUGCGUAUAGCCAUCUCACUAUGCACACAUUUUGUACCAUUGUAUACUGCCUUAAUGAACAUACUGUACAAUAAAUUGCAUUCCUUUUUUCCACCGCACACCUAGCAGUUUUAAGGUCCUGACACACACAUAGAACUCAGGAUAUUUGCAACACAUAGUCACUCGCCUAUAUACUAGUGUUGUAGCAGGAUACACAAUUGCAUUUAUGCAGGCUACACAAGCCAGAGACACGUCCGCAUUUACCAAGAUAGAUAGCGAUCCGUAUAGAGCCACACUACUGGUGGACAGCAGUCUCCUCCAUCUAUGCAUAACUGUUAGCACAGAAGAAAGGUUAAAAAACUAUUUUGGAGUCAGAUAAUCAGUAUAUCAUUAAGGUAAUCCCAUUCCAGUAGCACCAGGUAAUACUACAUGUGUUCCUUCGUCACUCAGAUACUUUUGCUGUUGGUUUACAGAGAGGUAUCUUACAGUUGGUGACCUCGACGUGACAAGUUUUGGUUUCUUUCUGUUGGUGACCUUGCUGCGCUGUUUGGUAUACCUGAAGGGCUCCUUACAGUUGGUGACCUAGACAUGAUAAGUUCUGGUUUCUCACAGUUGGUGACCUCGAUAUGAUAGCCUAAGUUCUGGUUUCUUACAGGUGGUGACCCCGUUGAUGUAUCUGAGGGGUUUCUAACAGGUGGAUUUGCCAAAAUUAAAUAUCGUUUGAAUUUUAAGGCAUCCUGGGUUAUAUUUUCCAUUUAUUUGUUGAAAUAAUUUAUUAUGUGUCAUAGUUUUGAGAAAUUUGCACUUUAAUUUCUUAUCCAAGGUGAUGUCAGUGCUUCACACAAGUACAUGUUGAAACUGAUUAACAGGAGAUGUUCGUUUUGCUUAAUGGUUGGACUUUUUUUUAGCGAUUUAGCUAAGAAGCCUAAGUAUGUAUGUAUCUCAACAAAAAACAUUUUCAAUGUACAAAAAUGGCAAGUUGCUCAUGCAUGCAAAGCACUGUCUAAACGUUGUUCAUUAAAACUAGCUAAAUCUAGGCCUGCCAUUAAAAGUAUUGAUAUUGUUGUACAAAUCCCUGUAAAUAUCCUUAUUGUUGUUAUUGUUGCUAUUUUCGUUAGUGAUUUCUUCACAGUUUUUUGCUGGCUAACAGUAGCCUUGACCAGCUUGAAAAGCCACCAAGGUAGCUGUAACAUUAAUAACAUUUGCAGCAGUGUUAGCUUGUAGUUAGCAAAAUAAGUAUAGCAUUUCGAAAGCGGCAUUGGAAUUCAGUGAAUCCAGUGCUAUGUAAGAAAUAUGUCCAGUUAAAAACGUUUAUGUAAUUAUGCACUGCAGUAAGGUGCUAUUGGCCAUAUUUGCUACUGAAAUUGUCAGGAUUUGAUACCAGUCAGUAUCAAAUCCUAUGUCAGUACAUCGAAACAAAGAGUUUGAGCGGGAUGAUAUAGGCUACUAGGUUGUCACUGUAUUGGAAUUGGGGUCUUAAAGCAUGGGGCAAGCCUAGUCUUUCUGAAUGUGGUGUGUUCUCAACAGUGAUUUUUAAAAUGUGUGGGAAUAGAUCCAGGCAAGGGAAUAUGAGACCAUUAGUUCUUCUGGCUUCAGAAAAUAUUUACUUUACCAGUCAUAUGAAAUCUGAUUCUUACCUGAGAGUUUCUGCGGUUGGUGCUCAAACAUAAAUUAUAAUUUUUAUUUUUGUGUCAGAGUUGGGAGACAUCAGAAAACAUCAGCAUCCGGGUGCGCAGGGGAGGCAGGCUGAUUAUAGCCUGGCAGUGCCAAAUUAGAGUACAAACUUGGCAGGACCUGCACCCGAAGAAUCCUUUGGGGACCAUGAAUGGCAUGUGUUUCUGGAAUGAUCCACAGUCAGGCUUCUGUCACAUGCUGAUCUGCUGCCAACUAGUGCAUCCCGUCUUUCCAAUUCAUCAUAUAUCUGCUUUUCUGGUUUAUUUAACAACAGGCAUGCAUACUGAAGGACCGUAGCAGAGAUGUUCUGCGGCCCAUGGGGGCCCGUUUAAAGAUUCAAUCAUGAGGCCCUCUCCUCUCCUUUCACUGCUUAUGUAUUAUGUAUCAAAUAGGCGCAUGGUGAUGGAACCACAGUUUGCAUUACAUUUACAUGAGUUAUCACAAGGUAGACCCUCUCUCCUUAAUGCACAUUUAAGGGAGGAUUGAGCAAAUGACGUGGAGAUAUAAGUGUGAGUGAACUUUGUUGAAUUUACUUAAGUUCACAGAACUAAGAAGGGUCAAUUUUGUGUGAAAUUUUUUCGCCCCUAAGAGCAAGUGUAAAUCAAGAUGCAAAGUUAUAGGCCUCAAGGAUCCGCUGAGAGAAUCUUUGCCACAAGAAUCAUACUAUUUAAAUUCCCCACGCAAGAAAUCACCAAACGGUAGUUAUAGAUUUAGCCGCCAUGCAAUAAUUAAGGGUAUUUGGAAAUAUUGGCAUUAGACACAAAGCAGUCACAGAAAAGAUGUUAAAAAUCAUGGAAAAACUAAGUACAGUAAAUUAACGAUACAUCUCAUGUGCAGCAGUGGGGCAAGAUUAAACAAGCAUGUGCAACUGUAGAGACAGGAGCAAGUGAUUUAAAAACUAAAUAAAUGCAUUGAUAGGCUGGUGCAUUUAAUCACUUUGAUCCAUUGUGGAAAGAGCAUACUUUUUGGCUUUAACAGAACAUUGUUAGAUACAGAACAUACUGAAAGUGCAUGACUAAAAAUAAAUGUCAUGUCAUAAAUGUUAGUUUUGAUACUUGCAAGGUUUGAAUCUUUUAUUGCAUACGCACACCAACACACCCUCAUCAUGCCGCAAUUUGAUCUCUGAGUUUCAUGUACCUACAUAUGG